GGUACAGAGGGAUGCUACCGGGCGACCGGAUGCGGAUCUCGAAAGCCUGUCCCAGUUCGGACUGGAGUCUGCAACCCGACUCCACGAAGUUGGAUUCGCUAGUAAUCGCGCAUCAGCCAUGGCGCGGUGAAUACGUUCCCGGGCCUUGUACACACCGCCCGUCAAGCCAUGGGAGCCGGGGGCGCCUGAAGUCCGGGACCGCGAGGACCGGCCUAGGGCGAAACUGGUAACUGGGGCUAAGUCGUAACAAGGUAGC
rnacentral:rRNA from 1 species